CAGGGAUUGCCCCAGUAACGGCGAGUGAAGCGGCAGCAGCUCAAAUUUGAAAUCUGGCCCCCCGACCGCGGGGGCCCGAGUUGUAAUUUGCAGAGGAUGCUUUCGGCGCGGCGCCUUCCGAGUUCCCUGGAACGGGACGCCACAGAGGGUGAGAGCCCCGUACGGUCGGACGCCCAGCCACUGUAAAGCUCCCUCGACGAGUCGAGUAGUUUGGGAAUGCUGCUCUAAACGGGAGGUAUAUGUCUUCUAAAGCUAAAUACUGGCCAGAGACCGAUAGCGCACAAGUAGAGUGAUCGAAAGAUGAAAAGCACUUUGAAAAGAGAGUUAAACAGCACGUGAAAUUGUUGAAAGGGAAGCGCUCGAGACCAGACUUGGGCCCGGGGGAUCAUCCGGCGUUCUCGCCGGUGCACUCCGCCGGGCCCAGGCCAGCAUCAGUUCGCCGCGGGGGACAAAGGCGCCGGGAACGUGGCUCCCUACGGGGAGUGUUAUAGCCCGGCGCGCAAUGCCCCGCGCGCGGACUGAGGCACGCGCUCCGCAAGGAUGCUGGCGUAAUGGUCCCCAGCGACCCGUCUUGAAACACGGACCAAGGAGUCGUCCUCGUAUGCGAGUGUUCGGGCGUCAAACCCCUACGCGUAAUGAAAGUGAGCGCAGGUGAGAGCUGCUUCAGCGCACCACCGACCGAUCCCGAUGGCUCGCCCGGACGGAUUUGAGUAAGAGCAUACGGGGCCGGACCCGAAAGAAGGUGAACUAUGCCUGUAUAGGGUGAAGCCAGAGGAAACUCUGGUGGAGGCUCGCAGCGGUUCUGACGUGCAAAUCGAUCGUCAAAUAUGGGCAUGGGGGCGAAAGACUAAUCGAACCUUCUAGUAGCUGGUUUCCGCCGAAGUUUCCCUCAGGAUAGCAGUGUCGAGACCUCCAGUUUUAUGAGGUAAAGCGAAUGAUUAGGGACCCGGGGGCGCUACCUAGCCUCCAUCCAUUCUCAAACUUUAAAUAUGUAAGAAGCCCUUGUUACUUGGUUGAACGUGGGCAUUCGAAUGCAUCGACACUAGUGGGCCAUUUUUGGUAAGCAGAACUGGCGAUGCGGGAUGAACCGAACGCGAGGUUAAGGUGCCAGAGUAGACGCUCAUCAGACACCACAAAAGGCGUUAGUACAUCUUGACAGCAGGACGGUGGCCAUGGAAGUCGGAACCCGCUAAGGACUGUGUAACAACUCACCUGCCGAAUGUACUAGCCCUGAAAAUGGAUGGCGCUCAAGCGUCUCACCCAUACCUCGCCCUCGGGGUGGAAGCGAAGCCCCGAGGAGUAGGCGGACGUGGG
rnacentral:rRNA from 1 species